UAACUUGUUCUUCAAGUCUUUACUUUUAAUUUUUGGAGUCUUCAUGGAUUUCACGGGCUUCACAAUCUAGGUCCGUAAGAUACAUAUCUUCCGGCCCAAUGUAUCUCUAAUACUCCCCCGCACGACAAACGUGGAAUGCAACACGCAAAUCUGCAAUCACAAAGCAGACCACGUAUGUCGUGGACACUAUGUCGAGGAAAACAAAUCACUAGAUUCCUUCGGUAAUAAACUUCAACUUAGACAAGGAGAGAUGAAAUCUUCAGCUCUUCUUCGGUCUUGACAAUGAGAAUACAUCUCGUGGGCGCAACUGCAGCUCCAUAAACAAUUAUCCUUGACAGUCCAUAACACGGACUAAAAAACUGACCUAAGAAUUUGAGCGUUCAAUUAGAACUCCCCCGUAAUGGUUAAACUAUAACCAAUAAAUCCCAAACUAUGGAAAAAACAACACGACAUAAAUCUGAGAAAUUCUAAACUACAGAAAAUCUCUAACAAAAAUAACCCAUGUGAAAUCACAAACCCUUAGCAUUACUAAACCCUCAAAUUCUUUUGCACUGAUCACCCGACCAAAACCCAAGAAAAAAAACAAAACAAAACCCUAAUAAAAAAAAACCAAAACCCAACUUCACGUGAAUCAACGUCGUCAUCCGGAUCAUCUUCGCCGUCUUCAUCGUCAACACCACCAAUGAACGCCAUCAAAGCUCUAAACUUAUAAUGCGGAAGUUUUAAUUUUGAUCCCUAAAAAUCGAAUACUCUGAUACCAUGUAAAAUAUAAUAGAAUAGAUAUAUUAUUGUAUUGUGUUUGAUAAAAAAAUACAAUAUACAUAUAUAUAGUGGUAACAUUAACAUAAUGUUAACACUAAAUAAUGCUAACUUUCCUAAACACUUAAUGUAAAUAUGCUAGAAUAUCUUGACAGUAACUUGUUCUUCAAAUCUUUCCUUUUAAUCUUUGGAGUCUUCAUGGAUUUCACGGGCUUCACAAUCUAGGUCCGUAAGAUACAUAUUUUCC
rnacentral:lncRNA from 1 species